rnacentral:rRNA from 1 species
AGUGAACGCUGGCGGUAGGCCUAACACAUGCAAGUCGAACGGCAGCACAGUAAGAGCUUGCUCUUACGGGUGGCGAGUGGCGGACGGGUGAGGAAUACAUCGGAAUCUACUUUUUUGUGGGGGAUAACGUAGGGAAACUUACGCUAAUACCGCAUACGACCUACGGGUGAAAGCAGGGGAUCCUCGGACCUUGCGCGAUUGAAUGGGCCGAUGUCGGAUUAGCUAGUUGGCGGGGUAAAGGCCCACCAAGGCGACGAUCCGUAGCUGGUCUGAGAGGAUGAUCAGCCACACUGGAACUGAGACACGGUCCAGACUCCUACGGGAGGCAGCAGUGGGGAAUAUUGGACAAUGGGCGCAAGCCUGAUCCAGCCAUACCGCGUGGGUGAAGAAGGCCUUCGGGUUGUAAAGCCCUUUUGUUGGGAAAGAAAAGCAGCAGGUUAAUACCCCGCUGUUCUGACGGUACCCAAAGAAUAAGCACCGGCUAACUUCGUG